GUCCACACUCAGACCAUUUAAUGUUGAGAAGUUAAUCAGUUAAUUCGCUCGUAUAGUUUCUAAGAUAUUUUCGAUUUUGUUCAUCAUCUCUGCAUGGCCCUGUUGCCGUGUUGGCUUCUUUACUUUUUCGUGUUGUUCGUUUCUUUGUCUUUCUCGGCGGUUCUAUAUGGAUCUGGGCUGAGUAUAGCAACAGGUUCGUCUCCCAAAUCACUUUCUCCGUUUGAACUUGUCUCGAGGUUUGCUUGCAUGAUUUCUGAGUUAGCUUUCUUGUAAAUUUCACCCCAAAUGUUUAUGAUUGCAUUGUAAAGAUCACUUGAAAUGACUUAAUAAUUUCUUUUACAGAAUUUUGGUAACUUGCUUCCAUUGCAAGAUAUUCAACUUUGUUUCAUAUGCAAACAUCACCGGUGUGACAUCACAUCGCAUAAUGACAUUUUGAAAACGCAAUAUUUUACCUUGAAAAAAUAUUUUUACAAACAAAUACAGAGGGUUAAUUACCAGUUAU